AUAUGAGGUUGAUUUUGAUGGCAAUUUUAUUUUAGAUCAGUAAAUUGCCAGAAUUAUCUUGUCCUUCAUGUAGUGUUCUUAUAAACUAUGUUAACUAAAAAACAUGAAUUUAGCUUGUUUUAAUGUUUGAUCUCUCUGCUGACACUUCAUUGAAUAUUGAAUAUUCAAGUUUUGUGCUUAUCUUUCACUGUUGAUGAUAAAGUUUCUUGAUAGAGUUAGGAAAUAUUUAAUUGUGAAAAUGUUGAAUGUAAAAGAACAGAAAUUUCAAUCACAAUGGCAGAAGCCUUUUUACAAUCAGUAUCUCAUGGCUACAAAUUGUAUCUUUCUUCCUCUUUACCCUUGAAAUGGCAAUAACAACAAUGUUGCCAUCUGAAUGUUGCUCAAUCAAUGAUUUCCUUCCAGAGAUUCAUAGAUUAUGUUGGAGAACUUCUGUAGGCUUAUGUUGAUAGGCGGGAACAGGUAAGGUGUUAGCGUGUAUUUUAAUAGUCCAAGCCAUGCGUUAUUAGUAUUUGGUUGUUGCUAUUUGAGCUGCUCUUGCAGAAAAAAUAUGAUCCUUGUUUACAAAACACAACAUUGUCUUAUGAAAAUCCAAGCCUCUUGACAAGUUCUUGAUGAUCAACUAAUUGAUUGGGUAAAUGCUUUAAUUUACUAUAUCUUACUUUGUUUUCCUAUUAUUCUGUAGGUAUGGCUUAUUAAGGAGUUGUAUGGAAACCAAAUUGGAGAGCUGUAUCACAGCCUUCCCUACCAUAUGAUAGAAUUCAUACCGUACGAUUUUGAUUGGUACUUUGACUAAGAUUUUUGGAGUCCAGAUCUGCAGAAGUGUCUGACGUAUUCAAGGUUGUCACCUCCUCAGCAAUGCAUGUAGAUAGGGCCCAUAUAGAUCAUAUUUUAUAUUUUGUAUAAAAUGCUUAGAUAUUGUAUUUUAAUGUAUAUUAUGAACAGGUAAUUAAUAGAAAUGCGAUGUAAAUUAAUUAAUUAGCUUUUUCCUAUGUAAUUAAUUUAUAUAUCAUGUAAAUUAUGAAAUCAUGUAAAUUAAAGAAAUUUGAAAAUUUUACUUAUGUGAUUAAGCAUGAA